ACCUAAUAGAUACCCUGGUAGUCCACGCCCUAAACGAUGCGAACUGGAUGUUGGGUACAUUACGGUACUCAGUGUCGAAAGCUAAACGCGUUAAGUUCGCCGCCUGGGGAGUACGGUCGCAAGACUGAAACUCAAAGGAAUUGACGGGGGCCCGCACAAGCGGUGGAGUAUGUGGUUUAAUUCGAUGCAACGCGAAGAACCUUACCUGGCCUUGACAUCUGUCGAAUCCUGCAGAGAUGCGGGGAGUGCCGCAAGGAACGACAAGACAGGUGCUGCAUGGCUGUCGUCAGCUCGUGUCGUGAGAUGUUGGGUUAAAGUUCCCGCAACGAGCGCAACCCGUUGUCCCUAGUUGCCAGCACAUCAUGGUGGGAACUCUAGGGAGACUGCCGGUGACAAACCGGAGGAAGGUGGGGUAUGACGUCAAGUCCUCAUGGCCCUUA
rnacentral:rRNA from 1 species